UAAGAAUAUUCCGCAAUGGACGAAAGUCUGACGGAGCGACGCCGCGUGGAUGAUGAAGGCCGAAAGGUUGUAAAGUCCUUUUGCUGGGGAAGAAUAAGCGUGGGAGGGAAUGCCCGCGUGAUGACAUGAACCGGCGAAUAAGCCCCGGCUAACUACGUGCCAGCAGCCGCGGUAACACGUAGGGGGCAAGCGUUGUUCGGAAUUACUGGGCGUAAAGGGCAUGUAGGCGGCCUUGUAAGCUUGGCGUGAAAGUCCACGGCUUAACCGUGGGAUUGCGUUGAGAACUGCGAGGCUUGAGUGACGGAGAGGGAGCUAGAAUUCCUGGUGUAGGGGUGGAAUCUGUAGAUAUCAGGAAGAACACCAAUGGCGAAGGCAAGCUCCUGGCCGAUGACUGACGCUGAGGUGCGAAAGUGUGGGGAUCAAAC
rnacentral:rRNA from 1 species